UAAACUUGCUUUAUACUGUGUCUUUCUAUUUCUCUCUUCUUCCUUAAUAGUUUCAGCCAUUAUAACCUGAGCAACUAUCAAUAAAACAUGAAACAAGUUAAGGAAUAGGAAGACUACUACAGAUAGAUACAAAAAAUACUACACAAUACCACAAAAGCUACUGCCAAUGAAAUAGAAAGCUACUCCCAAAGAUUAUAAAACAUACUACUACCAACAAUCUAAAAUGCUACUACAAUCGCCACUGGAGUUACACUAGAGCCCUACAUUUCUUAGCAAAUCUAAAUCCAGUACAGUUCAAAUCACCAUUCAAACACUAAUUCAUGUAAACUAAGUCUAAAAGGGAUCGGAAACUUACGUCAUAGAAACAGAAACGGAUGAGGCCAAGAUCCGCGACGGUGAUCACUGUGAUGGAGGGAGGCGACGAGAUCAUCGUCGGUGAUCACUAUGAUGGAGGGAGGCAGCGAGAUCGGUGGAGCGAGAGCGGUGGAGAGAGAGAGAGAGAGAGAGAGAGAGAGAGAGAGAGUAGUUAGAGAGAGAGAGAGAGAGAGAGAGNGAGAGAGAGNGNGNGAGAGNGAGAGAGAGAGNGAGAGAGNGAGNGNGNGNGNGAGNGNGNGNGNNGNNNNNNNNNNNNNNNNNNGNNGNGNNGAGAGAGAGAGAGAGAGUUCCUUUUCAGAUGAGUGUGUGUGGGUGGUGGAGAGAGAGUCUAGGUGUGAAUUAGGUUAUGAUGGCAGAUACGUAACUAAGUUGAAAGCUGAUACCUAAAAUGGAAGGAUAUUUGGGCUGGGCUGGGCUGGAUUGAACUUAUGUGAGUAAAAAUGUUUAGGUAGACCACCUAUAUGAGAGAAAAUAUCUCCAAAUGGACUUCUAUGUAAUUGGCCUUUUUUUUCUAUCAAAGUUCACUAACCACCUCCAAGCAAACGUCUGUUAAUACAUGUGCAACUCAAAUGACUGGUUCAAGUGCACCAUGGUGCACUGAAUCUGCUCUGCAAUUAUAGCGAAAGUUGUAAAUUUCUUACAAUAAUAGUUGAAGCUUGGGCAUCAAGCAUAUGGUCGCAAACUCUUUGAAAAUCAAAUUUUGAAUGAUUUUAUUAAUAUCACUUCAGAAAAAAUAAGUUUUAGAAUGCCACAAUUUUAUCUAGACAACUAGACCAAAUACUCAAAUAGACGGGGCGUUCUUACUUACAAUUUAUAUUGAUAUGCCUUUAAUAUAUACAAAAGAAACAAAUUAAUAUAUUGGUAAAAAAUCAACCAUACGCUUUACAAUACUAUAGAACUUAACAAGAAUAAAGGGUAGAGACAAAGAGAUCUAGUAAGAGAAUAGAGAAUUAUCAUCUUAUUCAUUGAUAGGAGUCUUUUAUAUAAGUUUAGUUUUGUCGAAAGAUUUGGGGAGAUCCUACCAUUGGAUUUCCUUUAUUUCUGUUUUAGAAUGUUAGACAUGAAAUGAAGUUAUGGGUGGAGUUUGGCAUUAAUCCGAUAAGCUUAACCCUAGUUAGGUAGUGGGUUCGGCAGAAGGUUGCCGGUUGUUAUAUUGAAGCAAUUAUUUUAUGAAAUUGUAGUGUGGUUUUAAAUAUUCUUAUAAUGUCAGGAUACUUGGAGACCUCACACGAGUGGUGUUUCGGAUAUCGUCGGGCUUAUGCCUAAAUUUGUGAGUUGACAUUUUGUUUUUAAGCAUGCAUGGUUUCUUUUGAAAAUUAUUGUUCUAUUUUCUGAGCUUAUAGUAUAAUUUCGGUUUAUGAUAUGGUCUUGAAAUUUAUUUGAGUUUGAUGCAUCGAUUAAGAGUUGGUCAUGAUUUAUGGAUUUGAGCUCGGGUUAUUAAUUUGGUAUUUGA
rnacentral:lncRNA from 1 species